rnacentral:rRNA from 1 species
GACGAACGCUGGCGGCGUGCUUAACACAUGCAAGUCGAACGGAAAGGCGCGGCUUUUGUGGGGUGCUCGAGUGGCGAACGGGUGAGUAACACGUGAGUAACCUGUCCCUGACUUUGGGAUAACUUCAGGGAACUGGGGCUAAUAUCGGGUAGGAGCUCUUGCUGCGCGGUGGGGGUAGGUAAGUUUCGGCGGUUGGGGCUGGACUCGAGGGUUAUCGGCUUGUUGGUGGGGUUGUUGCUUACCAAGGGUUUGACGGGUAGCCGGCAUGGGAGGGUUGACGGCCACCUUGGGACUGCGAUACGGCCCAGACUCCUACGGGAGGCAGCAGUGGGGAAUAUUGCACAAUGGGCGGAAGCCUGAUGCAGCAACGCCGCGUGCGGAAUGACGUCCUUCGGGUUGUAAACCGCUUUCGCCUGUGACGAAGCGUGAGUGACGGUAAUGGGUAAAGAAGCACCGGCUAACUACGUG